GAUGAACGCUGGCGGCGUGCUUAACACAUGCAAGUCGAACGGUGAAGGCGGAGCUUGCUCUGCUGGAUCAGUGGCGAACGGGUGAGUAACACGUGAGCAAUCUGCCCCUGACUCUGGGAUAAGCGCUGGAAACGGCGCCUAAUACUGGAUACGAGCUGCGAAGGCAUCUUCAGCAGCGGUAAAGAAUUGCGGUCAGGGAUGAGCUCGCGGCCUAUCAGCUUGUUGGUGAGGUAAUGGCUCACCAAGGCGUCGACGGGUAGCCGGCCUGGGAGGGUGAACGGCCACACGGGGACUGAGACACGGACCAGACUCCUACGGGAGGCAGCAGUGGGGAAUAUUGCACAAUGGGCGAAAGCCUGAUGCAGCAACGCCGCGUGAGGGACGACGGCCUUCGGGUUGUAAACCUCUUUUAGCAGGGAAGAAGCGAAAGUGACGGUACCUGCAGAAAAAGCGCCGGCUAGCUACGUG
rnacentral:rRNA from 1 species